rnacentral:rRNA from 1 species
AUUGAACGCUGGCGGCAGGCUUAACACAUGCAAGUCGAACGAGUGGCGGACGGGUGAGUAAUGUCUGGGAAACUGCCCGAUGGAGGGGGAUAACUACUGGAAACGGUAGCUAAUACCGCAUACCAUCGGUUGUCCCCAGAUGGGAGUAGUUAGUAGGUGGGGUAACGGUUCACCUAGGCGACGAUCCCUAGCUGUUGUGAGAGGAUGACCAGCCAAACUGGGACUGAGCCAGGGUCCAGACUCCUACGGGAGGCAGCAGUGGGGAAUAUUGCACAAUGGGCGCAAGCCUGAUGCAGCCAUGCCGCGUGUAUGAAGAAGGCCGUCGGGUUGUAAAGUACUUUCAGCGGGGAGGCGUUACGCGCAGAAGAAGCACCGGCUAACUCCGUGCCAGCAGCCGCGGUAAUAC